rnacentral:rRNA from 1 species
GAUGAACGCUGGCGGCGUGCCUAACACAUGCAAGUCGAACGGACAGGCCAUGAGCUUGCUGGGUGCUCGAGAGGCGCACGGGUGUGUAAAACGUGAGUAACCUGCCCCUAUCUUUGUGAUAUCUCCAGGGAACUCGGGCUCUUAUCGCGUAGGAGCUCUUGCUGCACGUGGGGGAUUAGAAAGUUUCGGCGGUUGUGGCUGGUCUAGCUGCUUAUCAGCUUGUUGGUGGGGUAGUGGCUUACGAAGGCUUUGACGGGUAGCCGGCCUGGGAGGGUGAACGGGCACAUGGGGACUGAGGGAGGGACCAGACGCCAACGGGAGGCAGCAGGCGAAAAUAUGGCACAGUGGGCGGAAGCGUGAGGCAACAGCGCCGCGUGCGUGAUAACGGGCUACGAGGGAUAAACCGCUUUGGCAGUUGACGAAGCGUGAGUGACGGUAAUGGGUAAAGAAGCACCGGCUAACUACGUG